rnacentral:rRNA from 1 species
UACGGGGGGGGGCAAGCGUUUGUUCGGAAUUACUGGGCGUAAAGGGGCGCGCAGGCGGUCUUGAAAGUCAGGCGUGAAAGCCCCGGGCUUAACCUGGGAAUUGCGCUUGAUACUCUGAGACUGGAGUACGGGAGAGGAGAGUGGAAUUCCCAGUGUAGAGGUGAAAUUCGUAGAUAUUGGGAAGAACACCAGUGGCGAAGGCGGCUCUCUGGACCGUAACUGACGCUGAGGCGCGAAAGCGUGGGGAGCAAACAGG